CGCGUAGACGGCUGUCUAAGUCUGGAGUGAAAGUCCUGUUUUCAAGAUGGGAAUUGCUUUGGAGACUGGAUGGCUUGAGUGCGGAAGAGGUAAGUGGAAUUCCCAGUGUAGCGGUGAAAUGCGUAGAGAUUGGGAGGAACACCAGUGGCGAAGGCGACUUACUGGGCCGUAACUGACGUUGAUGCGCGAAAGCGUGGGGAGCGAACA
rnacentral:rRNA from 1 species